rnacentral:rRNA from 1 species
GACAGAGGUGCCGAGCGUUAGGUGGAAUCACUGGGCUUAAAGCGUGUGUAGGCGGGCGGGCAAGUACCUUGUGAAAUCCCACGGCUCAACCGUGGAACGGCUGGGUAUACUGCCUGUCUUGAGCCAACUAGGGGCGAGCGGAACAGACGGUGGAGCGGUGAAAUGCGUAGAUAUCGUCUGGAACGCCGAAGGUGAAAACAGCUCGCUGGGGUUGUGCUGACGCUGAGACACGAAAGCCAGGGGAGCGAACGGG